rnacentral:RNase_P_RNA from 1 species
CGUGGCGGGCGGAUGACCGCCCCGGGGCCCGCGUCCGAGCGAUCGGGCGUCGGGAGCAUCCCGGGGAGGAAAGUCCGGACUCCGAAGGGCGCGAUGGUGGGUAACGCCCACCGCCCGGCCUGGUGACGGGACGGGUAGGGAAAGUGCAACAGAGAGUAAACCGCCUCCCCGGCCUUCGGGCCGGGGCGGUAAGGGUGAAACGGUGAGGUAAGAGCUCACCAGCAGGCCGGGCGACCGGCCUGGCUCGGCAAACCCCAUCGGGAGCAAGACCAAAUAAGGGGGCAGCGGACCGGUCGGGCAACCGCCCGGUCCCGCGGGUCGGCCCGGCCCGCCACCGACCCCCGGGUAGGUCGCUCGAGGCGUCGGGCAACCGGCGUCCCAGAGAAAUGGUCAUCCGGGCGCCUUCGGGCGCCCGACAGAAUCCGGCUUAUCGCCCGUCACGAAUC